rnacentral:rRNA from 1 species
UCGUCAGCUCGUGCCGUGAGGUGUCGGCUUAAGUGCCAUAACGAGCGCAACCCCUCUCCGUAGUUGCCAUCAGGCUAAGCUGGGCACUCUGCGGACACUGCCACCGUAAGGUGCGAGGAAGGUGGGGAUGACGUCAAAUCAGCACGGCCCUUACGUCCGGGGCUACACACGUGUUACAAUGGGGGGUACAGAGAGUCGGCUGCCCGCAAGGUCAGUCCAAUCAUGAAAGCCUCCCUCAGUUCGGACUGGGGUCUGCAACCCGACCCCACGAAGCUGGAUUCGCUAGUAAUCGCGCAUCAGCCAUGGCGCGGUGAAUACGCUCCCGGGCCUUGUACACACCGCCCGUCAAGCCAUGAAAGCUGGGGGCGCCUGAAGUCCGUGACCGCGAGGGUCGGCCUAGGGCGAAACCGGUGAUUGGGGCUAAGUCGUAACAAGGUA